rnacentral:rRNA from 1 species
UACAGAGGUCUCAAGCGUUGUUCGGAUUCAUUGGGCGUAAAGGGUGCGUAGGCGGCGCGGUAAGUCGGGUGUGAAAUCUCGGAGCUUAACUCCGAAACUGCAUUCGAUACUGCCGUGCUUGAGGACUGGAGAGGAGACUGGAAUUCAUGGUGUAGCAGUGAAAUGCGUAGAGAUCAUGAGGAAGACCAGUGGCGAAGGCGGGUCUCUGGACAGUUCCUGACGCUGAGGCACGAAGGCCAGGGAGCAAACGGG